AAAGAAAGAAAGAAAGAAAGAAUUCAAGCCAAAUGAGCAAUUAGCCCUUCGUGGAUGCCAGCCCACGAGGUGGAGCAUCACUUCCACUCCACUCACUGAUAAAGCAUUCAUCCAAACAUCGCUAGAAAUGUGUUCAACUGUCAAAACAAAUACCAAUCAGCUUUGUCUGUUCAAUCAGGUGGGCAUCAGACUUUAUCUGCACGCUCUCUCACCGGCAGGAUUAUUACCGCUGCUUGUCUUGCCUCCAUUUCAGCAAUCUAAUCAGCCAUUUGCCCUUUAACACGGAGACAGCAGGAGGAUUAGAAGUACCUUUGUGGCUUCACUCUUUGAUUCUCCACCAUUCGGAUCGGCACAGAGAGCCCAGUCAUCUUCUGACGGGAGAGAGAGCUGGAGGCUGACGUCAGCCGAGCAGGAAACCAACAAUUGGAGAUGUUGCUGUCUAAUUGCUGCAAUUUGCAGACGGGGCUGCGUUCGUAGAAACGACAGAAAGGGAGGGAUGGAACGAGGGAGACAGAGGAAGGUUGAUGGAGGGCAGGAGAGUCAGAGCGAGGCAGCACUUCCAGUUGACAAAAGGCUAGAAAGCAGAGACACAAAUUGCAUACAGUCAUGAGAGGAUUUGUAAUGAGAAGCAGUUUGUGACCAAGAUGAACUCACACAAACGGUCUAUGAAGAAUGCUGGAAGUCCACUUUCAUGGUGUGCGUGAUCAUCAAGAACAUGUUUGAAGAAUUCUUACUGUAGACUGGCUGUGGAUCGUUGCUAAAAUGGCGAUUCGAUUCAUGAAUCCAACCACAAUUCUUACUUUUUAAUAUGUUUUGCUAUGUGAAUGUCUAUUAAAUCACCAAAAUUUAUACUUUAUUUAGAACAGGAGAUCAAAAUCAACAAAACUGAUUCAGAUAGAAAGAAAUGUCAUUUUAAUUUUUUUUUUCUGUAAACCUUCUGGUUUAGUUCAGCAGUAAGAUAACAUAAAAAUGAUUUAAAAACCA